UACGGAGGGGACUAGCGUUGUUCGGAAUUACUGGGCGUAAAGCGCACGUAGGCGGAUUUGUAAGUCAGGGGUGAAAUCCCGGGGCUCAACCUCGGAACUGCCUUUGAUACUGCAAAUCUCGAGUCCGGAAGAGGUGAGUGGAAUUCCUAGUGUAGAGGUGAAAUUCGUAGAUAUUAGGAAGAACACCAGUGGCGAAGGCGGCUCACUGGUCCGGUACUGACGCUGAGGUGCGAAAGCGUGGGGAGCAAACAGGAUUAGAAACCCCA
rnacentral:rRNA from 1 species